rnacentral:rRNA from 1 species
UACGUAGGGUGCAAGCGUUGUCCGGAAUUAUUGGGCGUAAAGAGCUCGUAGGCGGUCUGUCGCGUCUGCUGUGAAAACCUAGGGCUUAACUCUGGGCGUGCAGUGGGUACGGGCAGGCUAGAGUGCGGUAGGGGAGACUGGAAUUCCUGGUGUAGCGGUGAAAUGCGCAGAUAUCAGGAGGAACACCGGUGGCGAAGGCGGGUCUCUGGGCCGUAACUGACGCUGAGGAGCGAAACGCGUGGGGAGCAAACAGG